UGUUAGUACCUGAUUUCUUGCUUAUAACUUUAUUAUUUAGGUUUGAAAUUAAAAAUAUUUAAUAGAUGUAAGUUUAAUUAUUUUCAAAUUAAAAGUAAUUAAUUUUUUUAAAUAUAUUUUUUAGAAAUCAUAAAAUAAAAAGAGCAUUAACGUUAAAAAUCUAAACCGCCGCCAUUGAAGCAUAAAUUGGUGAGGGUUUUUAUGAGGUGUAAAGAAAAUCCACAAAGAUUUCUAUGGGGUCUAACAAUUACUCUAUUAUUAUUUUUGUUGUUUUCUAGUGGCGCAAAAUUAAAUAGUUUAAAAUAAUAAGUGAAAACUAAAGAUUGUUUUGGACUAUUGGUUUUAUUUAUAUCAACAAAAUCAAAUUGAAAUCUAAAAUAUAAAUUUACUUUUAGUCCAAUAAAAAACCAUUUAUAUAUAUAUGAAUCAUAUAUACAUACAUUUUAGGGAUGUGAUAAAAAAUUGAAAUCGAAUAACUGAACCUAGCCAAAUGAUAUUUAGUUUAUUUGGUUCGGAUUAUUUAGUUAUUUGGUUAACGAAAUAAAAAUAUUUUAUUUGGUUUGGUUUUGGUUAAAUUUUCAUUACUUUGGUUAAACCGAAAAAACCAAAUAAUCUAUUUAAUUAUUAUAUAUUUUUAUAGUUUAUAUAUAAAUUAAUAUUUUAUAUUUAAAUUGAUAGAUAGUUACUAAAAAAUAUUUUCAUAACUCAUUAUUUAAUUAUUAAUCAUUAUAAAUUUAUAAUUGUUUACAUAUACAUUGUAUUAAAAAAAACUAAUUAGCUAAAUGUCAAUCAACCUUCAAUCAUUUCUUUCCUCUUUAUAUACGUCUAAAGCUAUAUUAACACGCAUCUACAACUUAUAUGGCUACAUCGAUACCUCAAGACAACAUAUCAUGAAAUACUUAAUAUAUUAUGUUGUAUAUUAGUGUUUUUUAUUCAUUUGGUAAAACUCCAAUAAGUUAUUUUUUCUUUUAGUUUAAUAUUUGUUUUUACAUGCAGAAUUUUAUUUGGUUUAACCGGUAAAUGGAACCGAAUAAACCUUAGUCGAAUUAACCAAAACCGAUUAAACCGAACCUUAUUUGGUUUGGUUAUUGUUAGUUUUAAUCCGCCGUGACAUCCCUAUUUUUAUGGUAAAAAAUACAUUUUUAUUUAUGCUUAUUUUAAAACAGAGUUCAUUCGUAAUAGCGGAAUUUGUGCCUUAAAAAGUAUUUUCGAAGAAAUGUUUUCCAUUGAUUUAUUAAGACUUGAGAUGUCAUAACUUAUACAAGUAUAGUUGAGUAACACCUACAGGUUGUAAAACCUGUUCAUGUACAAGUCAUCAAUGCUUACCGGUUGUAGACCUACCCAUAGAAUGAUUUAUUAACACCUACAGGUUUUAAACCUGCACAUGUAUGGUAGAAUGGCACCUAGAGGUGGUAAACCUACUCGUGUAUGGAUUAUAAACAUCUACAGGUUACAAGCCUAUCCAUGUUGACUUAUAAACAUUUACAGGUUGUGUAACUACCCAUGUUUUGACCUGACUUGUCUAGAAUAUUUUAUGGUCAUCGUUAAUACCCUACUAGGUAACUACAUUACUAGUCUAGUAGUACUAUAAAAGUCUCGGCCUCUCUUCAUUAUUUUCAUCUCUCUUUACCCUUCACUAUCCUAUACAUUAUAAGUAUAAAAAUACAUAUAUGUUUAAAUAAAAUUAGCUCAUAUAAUUUCAUCUAACACAUAAGGUUUCAAUCUAGAUAAUAGGCACACUUGACACUAAAAUUAUCUAUAUAUAAGAUGAAAGUAACUAUGCACUCGCUUGAUAAAAUUGGAUGGCUGAAAAGUUGGACAGUGCUUUGCGUUAGUGCUUAGUUUUUCCUUUGACGUGACCUAGGUUCAAUAAUAACUAAGUCUUACUUUAUUAUUACUUAUAACUAAUUAAUAGUCUAGAUUCCUCAACAAUCCCAAUGUUUACAUCAUAAUCUAUCAAGUAAGGAGCAAACAGAUAAGAUCAUAUCGAAGGUAGGGUCCGUUUGAUAUACAUCGUAUACUAUUUGGAAAUCCUACUUUAAACACCUCAUUAAAUCUUGUCUAGACAUCACCCCUAUAAAUAGAUCAAUCAGUAUAAUGACUUGGAAUCACUGGCAAAUCUUAUUUAUAGAUUCAUAACACCGACUAUGAAUACAAAUAUAAAUUAUACUAAAAUAAGAUUGAGUGUAAUCUAACUUAUAGAGAAUUCAUAGACAACAGUCCGAAAAUUGUGUAUUGGUAAGACUCCGACCUGAUAGCUACUAGGCGUCGGGCUCUCAGGUACCUCAUUGCUACGCCGAAGACUAAAACUAAAGGAAAAUGAGGAUGAUAUUGCUAGAAACUCGAGAGAGUGAAUGAUGAAAAGUGUGGGAAUGAAUUGAAUCUUCAAAAGCUAUUUAUAUGUGAAAAAAGCAGAUGUGCGCCGCACACCCUGUCUGGGCGCGCCGCGCAAGUUGUCGAAUGACGAGGUGACCUUCUCCUAACCUCACAUGCAAUCUCAUUAAAUGUCUGAGGGGACUCGCGCCUCUUGUCUGUGCGUGGAUUUUUAUAAAAUCUUUAAAAAAAUCAUAUUUUCUUCAAAUAAGCUCCGUUUUUGACGUAUUUUAUAUCCAAGCGUAACUGUUGACAAGAUGUACAACUUUCAUUUAGACUCCAUCAGGUAAUUUUGAUUUAUUUUUAAAUUUAUAUUUUUAACAGACUUAAACUGUUAAAAUUCGUUAAAAAUUCAUAACUCUCUCGUCUGACGUCCAAUCCCGACUGUAUUUAUAUUGGUGGAUAAGUAUCGAAGAGAUCUUCAAUUCCUGUAUAUAUUGUUUUAGCUAAAAAUCGACUGAUUUGAAAUUCGAUUUUUGUGCUGACACAGUUGCGUUGAAUCUUUGAAAAAUCAUAACUUCCUCUCACGAAGUCAGAUUUAGAUGUUCUUUAUAUGAGCACUCUCAGUUUUAUGAUUAAUAUGACUUUUGUUUAGAUUACUUAGGCUAAAAAGUAAUUUAUCAAAAUUUCACUUUUUACGAUACGUAGAGUCGUGUCGGUUUAAUCGCGAAAUUUCAAAGUAGCAUAACUUCCUCAUACGAAGUCGGUUUUAGAGUUCUUUAUGUGUAUGAAACCCUUGUCACAUAUACUAUAACUUUUGUUAAGAUUAUUUAUCCUUAACAAUCUUCUACCAAAAAAUCAUUUUUAACGUUUAUUAUAACAUAAUUGAGUUGCUCGAAUCUGUGUGUGUUGCAUCCGUCAAACAAGCAAAUUUAAUUUCAUAAGGGCAAUAUUAUUCCAUCUUCAUGCCCCAUUAGUUUGCGGAAGGCUAAAAUCAUAACAAUAUUUUUGAAAGAGGAGACGGAGUAAUGAUUUGAGUUGUCUAAAGACUAAGACUAUUUGUGAGAUCCAUUUGCAUCAAUACUAAGUUGGGAAAAUUCACAAAAACCAAGGUUAUUUUUAGAUAACCGUUUAAGAAGAUUGACAAUCGAACUCCAACAUCCACCCUCAUCUACUUGCUUGUGACUGAUUAUCAAGGCACCCUUUUGAUAUGGGGAAUAUGACUUAUUAAGGUAAUUAACAUUUCGGUAUGUUUACAUCUGGGUAACUAUCUUUUUUUUUGUACACAUGUAGGUAACAAACUUGUUGGAAGUGUUCACAUAUGACCAAUAUGACCUGCUAUAGCUGGUUAAAUUCUAAAUGUGAACGCUUUCAACAAGUUCGUUACCUAGAUGUGUACAAAAAAAAAAUAGUUACCCAAAUAUGAACAAAACGAAAAGUAAAAAUUAAAUUACACGAAUGGUCCUUGUGGUUUGGGGGAAUUUGUGUUUUUGUCCCUAACUUAUUUUUUUAACUUGGAUGGUCCCUACUGUUUAUUUUUGUUGCGCGUUUGGUCCCUGUCUUACCUAAAAAGACUAUUGUGCCCUUAUUAAUUUAUUUUUUAUUUAAUUUUCUUAUUUAUAUAUUUAUUUUUUACAUAUUUAAAAAAAUUAAUAGACCACACAUAUUUGUAUCUCAUUGGAUGAUUCCUACUGUUUAUUUUUUUUUAAUUAAUUUAAUUUUUUAACUCGGGUGAUCCCUACUGUUUAAUUUUGUUACGAACUUGGUCAGUAUCUUACCUAAAAAGACUAUUGUGCCCUUAUUAAUUUUUUUAAAUUAAUUUUCUUGUUUAUGUACUUAUGCUUUAUAUAUUUAAGAAAAAAAUAAUAGACCCCACAUAUAUGUAUCUCCUCACCAUCCCAUCUUUCAUCAUUCUCAAGUUUUAUUUAUUUUCCAUCUUUAGUGAUAUCGACGUCUUCAUCAUCACUUCUUUUUUCGGUCCUUCAACUCCGUCGAAUCAACAUCACAACCCACUAAAGAUGAAGAGACAGUAGAUUAUGGUGUUGGUUCGCCAGAGUUGAAGUACCCAAAAAAAAUGAUGAUGAAGACGUCGAUGUUACUAAAGAUGGAAAAGAAAUAGAAGAUGGGGAGGAUGAGAGAUGAGAUGGUGACCGGUAAGACCCAAAUUAAAUUUCUCAAAUGUGGUUUCAGGUUUACGGUGAGGAGAUACAUAUAUGUGGGGUAUAUUAAUUUUUUUUUAUAAAAAAUAAAUACAUAAAUAAGAAAAUUAAUUAAAAAACUUAAUAAGGGAAAAAUAGUAUUUUUAGGUAAGACAGAGACCAAACGCGUAACAAAAAUAAACAGUAAGGAUCAUCUGAGUUAUAAAAAAUAAAUUAACUAAAAAUAAAUAGUAGGGAUCAUCCGAUGUGAUACAAAUAUGUGUGGUUUAUUAAUUUUUUUUAAAUAUGUAAAAAAUAAAUACAUAAAUAAGAAAACUAAUUAAAAAAUAAAUUAAAAAGGGCAUAAUAGUCUUUUUAGGUAAGACAGAGACCAAACGUGCAACAAAAAUAAGCAGUAGGGACCAUCUAAGUAAAAAAAACAAGUUAGCGACCAAAAACACAAAUUCCCCCAAACCACAAGGACCAUUCGUGUAAUUUAAUUUUUACUUUUCGUUUUGUUUAUAUUUGGGUAACUAUUUUUUUUGUACACAUUUAAGUAACAAACUUGUUGAAAACGUUCAUAUCUAGGAUUUAACCUGCUAUAGCAGGUUAUAACGGUCAUAUGUGAAUACCUCCAACAAGUUUGUUACCUAGAUAUAUACAAAAAAAAAAAAAAAAUACUCAGAUGUGAACAUACCAAAAAGUUAAUUACCUUAAUAAGUCAUAUUCCCUUAGAUUGUGUAUUGCCAAUACAUUUUCAUUUAUACGCUUGUAUCUAGUUUACAAAGUAAGUUAUAUCCAUAAAACAAUUUGUUUUCCUUUUUUAUUUAAACAAUUUAUUUAUAACUUAUUAAUAUUAUUCCUUCAGCCAUAUAAUAUCAUUCUAGUGCAUAAUUUAUUUUUACUAUUUCAUCAACCAUUUAUUAUUUAUCAACCAAUUACUUAUCUAUUUUAAUGUUACUUUUUGCUCUCAAAUCUCAAUAGUUUCAUUUUAUCCACCUUAAGGAUAUAUUUAUAGGUUUAAUAUCUUUUACUAAUUAAUCUAAUUUAUUAAAUAUGCAAAUUAAUUUUAUAAUGUUUUUAUUGUUUUCUAUCUUUUUAACUAUACGAUUAAUAAAACUAUCAUCAAUAUGAAAUAUGAUGUGCCCCAAGAAACAGAAAGUUAUAAAAGAAACUUUUAUAAAAUGAUCCAAAUACCAGGAAAUAAAUGUUUAAAUAUUAAAAUACUUUAAAAAAAUUAUGCAUUGUAGAAAAUUUUUCAAAGUAUAUUUUUUUUAUUGAUUUGACAUAAUAAAUAAAAUUUAUAUACGAUUAACCAUUAUGGAUGCUAUAAAACUUUUUAUAUUCUAUGUUGAAAAAUAUUUCACGGUUUUACAAACAAUUGUGUUUUUUAUGGAAAUUUUUUAACAAACAUGCCUAAAUUUUAUUAGAUUCAGUAUAAAUACACAUAUUCAGAAGUUUAUAUGAUCGACUAAUAGCAACAAUGAUGUUUGCUUAUUUUUAAUGUUUUAGUAUUUUGAGUGUGCAUUUCUUCUUAUUGAGAAUAUAUUUGGGCUGAUUACGUGCUUGGCAACUAAUUUUGUUUUUUGAAAUAUACAAAUAAUCUAUAAAACAUCGGUCUAAAUUGUACAACAACUCGACCCACCAAGUUUUGUUUAACAAUUAAAAAUACACAAAAUUAGUAUUAAAAUUGCGUCCCAAGUUCAUAACCCAUUAGUUUAAUUAACUCAAACGGUACCACUUCAAGUGCCUCUCUAAAAUAAUAAUUGUUGCUUCUUAUCAUAUUCCUAAUAAAUAGCAGUGUAUUAUGUAUAUGUGUGCUGAUAGGAAUAUAGAAUACGGUUUAUAUAUUUAAAAUUCUUAUCAGGUUCCAUAUAUUUGCAUAAUAACUUUAAAAUCUUAAUAGUUACAUAAUUAAAGCUUUCAGAGCGUGUUCAAUCAUAUAAUAGAAAGAAAAAAAUAGAAUUCCUAAUUGUCUAUUUAUAUUUAAAGCAUAUUUACAUGUACAAACCACACACUAUGUUAUAAAGAUCAUGUAUAUAAAUAUCUUCGAAAUUCUGUUACUGUAAAUUCUGCAAACGUCAUAUUUCUUUUAUAGUUUAUAUAAUUCCAUUAAUGUAUAUUUAUAAAUAAUCCAAUAAUUUAUAUCAGUUUCUAUAAUCUACAAAUCAUGAGUUUAAAGUUAAAUGCAAAAAGGUUAAACCUUUAUUAUAAUUCAUGGGAUGUGGAGGAUGGACUUGAAUGACCCUUCAGAAAAGUUGCAACAAUGUCUAAGUGCGCAUGAGUUACAUAUUAGUUGGAUCUACACUUAUANNNNNNNNNNNNNNNNNNNUAUAUAUAUAUAUAUAUAUAUAGUUUUUCGAUUCUAUGAGAAACAAAAAUUACAUGAGAUAUCGUGAGAAAAUAAAUGAUAUGUAUGCUUUUUUUAUGAACCAAAGAAAUAAAUAAUUAGAUCUUGCAAAUAUAAGUUGGUUUACAAAAAUCCCACAAAAAAAGUUCCAAGAUUCAUUUUGGGAUUAUUUACUAAACUUGACUAAAAAAAGAAUCAUUGUUUGAAUCACUAAAAAAAUGAAUCAUUAACGUAUUUUUUUUUGUUCAAUCUUCUUUAACUCAUGUUAUUUUUGUAUUAUCAAAUGAUUCAUUUCAUUGUUUCUCUAAAAAAAAGAUACAAAUGGAUAAUUUCGCACAUACACUUGUUAGAGUGCAUGAAGUCGCAUGGUAAGAGCACAUCAAAGAUGAUGCGAGGCCCUAUUUGAUAUGCAUCCAACCGGGUCAGGUUAGAUAUUGUUUGCUGACUCGGUCAGGUAAAUAUACAAUAAAAAAACAUGGUUUUUUAUUCAGUCGGGAUUUCUUAUCCAUACAGACCUUUCCGAAUCAACACUUUCUCAGUCAACAACUAUCAAACGGGACUUGACUCUUUUUAUGCCACAAUGAGCACUGCCCCGUGAAAAUGGCAAAGGUAAAAAAAAUGUCGAGCUCGACAUAUAUGUGUCGAGUCUGUCUCCUUUCUCCCACUAUUGCUACUCUCUUUUCUCUUUAUCUUCUUCAUUGUCAUAGUAAAAAUGUCACCACUCACUUGUCUUGGUAAACAAUCAUAUAAUUAUGGUAAAUUCUAAGUUAAGCAGAGGUAUCCAUGACAAAAAUGAUACAACUUCUAUUAGACAAAGAGUUAUUACCCAUUCUCAAACAUACAAUCCUUGUCUUGUGAAACUUUGUUAAUACUAAUCAAGUCAAACAAGUCUUAGUAAAAUGCUUAAUAAGUUGCUUAAAAUCCCGUCCCUUAAACCGACCUUUUGCACCACAUGAAAUUAGCACACACCAUGUUAAAUGGUAAAUGCUAAUCUCGAAAAUAUAAUCAUUGUUUCUUAACACUCAGUCAAAGCAUCCAUAAUGAAUUAAACUUUAUAGAGUUCAAUACAUUGUCACAUUAUCAUUAUGUAUUCUAUAUAACUAUCAAUUUUUUUCUAUAAUGUAUCGAAUUCUACAAAAUUCAAUGGAACAUAUUUAAAUAUUUAGAGUAAAUUACACGAAUUGUCCUUAUGGUUUGAGGUAAUUUGCACGUUUGGUCUAUAACUUAUUUUUUUUAACUCAUUAGGUCCCUAUAGUUUGUUUUUGUUACGCGUUUGGUCACUGUCUUACCUAAAAAGACUAUUUUGCCCUUGAAAUUUUAAUUUAUUAAAAUAAGGUGGGAUAGGUAAGGUAAGGUAAGAUGAGGUGGAAAUGAGGUUGGGGGUGUGUUUAUUUAUAUAAAUUAAAAAAUCAAUGGCAAAAUAGUCUUUUUAGGUAAGACAUGGACCAGACACGCAACAAAUACAAACAGUAUGGACCUUCCAAAUUAAAAAAAUAAGUUAGGGACCAAACAUGUAAAUUACCUUAAACUAUAGGGAUCAUUCGUGUAAUUUACUCAAAUAUUAUUUAAGUAUUAUAAACUUUUUUUCCAAUUGAAUAAUUCAAUGAUCAUUGAUAAAUUCAUUAAAUACUAAUACGUUACUUCAUAAUGAUAGAGUUUAACCAAUUAAAUAACAAUUAUAUUUGUCACCUCAUCGAACAUUUUUAUUGAAAUAUCCGUCGUAGAUGCUAUUAACAUCAAUUGGAUAUUGAUGAAAGAAGUUAAUAACAUAAAAGUGACUUUGUGAGUUGCUUAAAACCUCUUUUCACGAUCUAAAUCAUUUAAAUCGAAAAUAUUCACACACACGUACACCAUGUUAAGUGUUAAGCGACUUAGAACCAUUAUUUCGUGAAAAUCAGUUAACAUCAAUUGGAUCAAACGGAAUAGUUUAAACCUAAAAGUUGUCUCUUUACAACAUGGACCCUACAUAUACGUGUCUUGUUUUAUUAUUAUAUAUCUAUCACCCUUUUCUUAGUUGCAUCCGCUCUUGUACCAAAUGAGAACUAACAAAAUCCACCACACAGACAACUCAUUAUAUACAGCCCACCAAGGUAUUAUUUCUUCAUUCCUCCCUUUCAUUCGUUCUGCAAACACUUAGAUUUAUUCAAAGCCACAAAUAAGAAGCGGAUCAUGGCGGCAACCGAGGCGGAGAUGGUGGCCGGACAACCAAGAUCGGGGUGGUCGUGUGGGUCCGUAUGGAACGUGCGAAUUGCUGCCUCUAGGGAACGAGGGUUUCGGAGAAACGGUUGAGUUCAUGUCUAUUUGAUCAAUUAGGCAAGUCUGAAGCUUGGCUCUUACUUUAUUAACACUCUCUUUUUUAUUUUUGAUUUUUGUUUGUUGUCAUGAAAAAGAACUGGGGAAUACAAUAAAAACUUUGGGAAUUCAGUUUUUAUUUUAAUUUUCGUUUUUAAAGUUGUGUCAUGUGUUUGUUUUUCUUUUACCGAUUGGCGAAAUUAUUAGUUAUUUUAUGCAUGUUUAAUUAAUAUUUUUUAAACCAUUUUGAAUAGAAAUCACGACCACAAAUGAAUACAAUAUUAAGAUUCCGUUUAGAGUCCUUAAAAUUAUGCUUUAGGAUACGUGUUUGGUGCUUUUCAUUUUUAUUGCACAUUCUAAAAAGAUACACUUUGAUUGAUCACGAGCCUUUCUUAUUUGCAAAGAUUGCUAACUUUUUCUCUUGGUCUACUUACAUAACACCGAAG
rnacentral:lncRNA from 1 species